GAAACAAUAACAAAAUAACAUGCACAACAAUAUUAACAACUUUUAAUAGCAACUAUUAGCAGUUUAUAAAAAAGUUUAAUACAACAGUCAAACAUAAUUAACCGGUUGUCGGUUAAAAAAGUGAUCUGUGAAAUUAGGCUAUUAGACAGUGGACUAAACGCUUCUACAGUUAGCCAUCUUCCCAGAUAGCAAUGAGUCGGCGGACCACCGGUGGUGCUCUGGAGGCAGUAAGCGUCAUAAGGGCGUAAUCGCAAACAGGUCUGAAGGUUAAGCAUAAAUUAAGCAGUCUGCAUGCUGGCGGCAUCUCGCAACAAAUGGGAGUGACGUAUUCGGCGGCAAAAGUUUCAUCCCCGCCAGCGGGACGCACCUAUAGCCGACACCUUGGGGCUGGCGGCAUAAAGAAGCCAUGCGGAUAUUUUUUGCUAUCUGGGUUAUUCCAUUAUUAACCCAUAAAGCUAAGUAGUUUCUUAAGUUUGAUCAUUAAUCUGCUAUGUCAAGUUAUGUGGUCUUGGUAAUGUCAAGGUGUCAUGACAAGUUAUGAUGUAUUGUAUGAUGUAUAUAUAUUUUUUUUAAGUAUGUUUUAACAUGCACAUGAUUAAUUACAUACACAAAAUAGUGGUCAUGAAAAUGUACUCAGAUUUAGCAUAUAAAUCAGGCUACACUCAUCUGACAAAUAAUGACACUCACAGGAAAAUGUAAAUUCAAGUGAAUGCUUCUAAAAGUAAAACGUAUUGGUAUCGGUAAUACUGCCCAUGUAUUUACUUGGUAUCGGAUCGAUACAAAAUUUUACAGUAUCACCCACCACUAAUUUACAUUGCAAAUCUUGAUGCCCAUUUCCAAUUUGUUGCCUGUAUUUGAUUUUUUUUGGACAACUAACUUACACAAUCUUUUAAAAGCAACUCGUAUCCAAUAUCUGAAUUGAACUAAACACUUGGCAAAACAAUUUAAGGAAGACAUACUGACCCAGAAACAGCUUAAAUCUCAGAGGAUAUUGUUGCAAUAUGCAGUAGACACACAAAAAAGAAUAUGCAAGAUUAUAGCUUUAUUUCUGUAAUAAGACAUAAAACUUUAACAUUACUCCACUAAGUGGAGCCGUCAUCCUUUAUUGUGCUGCUAAGAAGAGUCAUGUGAUCGUGGGUGGUGUCCACCUCAGUGAUGGGAGAAACAAACUUUUUGAAGCUUUAAAACAACUAAAGCAAUUGCUUCAAAAAAGAUUCACUAUUUCGUAGCAUUUAAAACACCAUACACGCUGGCGACACCUGCUGGUCAAAAUGUGUAAAGGCAAAGAGAUCUAGGUCCAAACAUCACACCUUCUACAAACAAUUUAAAAUAGGUUCUUAACAGUGUAAUAAUGCUUUCAAUAUACAGUGUUUCCCACAGAUCUGGAAUUUAAUUGUGGUGGUACACUGUAACGAAUUGCUGUAAAAAGUACAGCAUUAUUUUACAGCAGCGGGCUGUUUUUCUAAUAAUACAGAAAAUUGCUGUAAACUGCAAUGCAUUGUGGGGCCGCAUGGCGUUUUAACCCAAUAUACAGAGUAUUGUUGUAAAUUUCAAAUUUUCAGAUUGCAUUGUGGGAUCUUCAACGGUCGAGAUUUGUGAAGCGCCACCAGGAGUGAUUCACAGCUGUGGUAAGUGAUUCAUGUAUUUGUUUUUUUAAUAUUUGGUAAGUGCAGUAGUAUAUGAAAGUAUCUAUAUUCGUGGUUCAUAUUGGAAACGCCCAUGUUAUCGCAUCCGUCCCCCGUUCGCGGGAGCGAAUGAUACCUAUGCGGGUUUUAAACAGCACAGUCGCGGUAGUAUUUCACACAUACCCCGACGCUAAAUAUAGCAGCUACGGACAAAAACUGGCUUUCUACGUUAAGAGUUACAUUCCGUGACAAAAAGUAGGAUUUACAGGAACUCCUUCGUCGGCGGGACGCGAAUGAGACGCGGGGUUUUAGCCACGCGGUCGUUGUAGUAUUUCAAACAUACCGCCUUAACUGGGUUCCUACGUUAAUUACAUGCUUCAGUGAGAAAGUUGAGGAACUAAGUCGUCCACGGGAUAUGAAUGAGACGUGCUUUAACCCGGUAACGUUAGCUUUAAAUUACUUCAGGAUGAUUUCGUUUGAUUAAUAAUGUUUUUCCUUAUUUCAUAAUCCUUUUAUAUAUACACAUGUGUACAGUACAGUGCUUUAUUUGUAAAUAUCUUUACAGUGGGGUGAGCAAUUGGACAGGCAGGUGAAGAGGUAAGAGCAAAUCCAAAUAAACAUUUAAAAUUAUAUAUUCUAUUUACAGAGAGUUGUUUAUUUGUGUUUCAGUUUUAAUCUGACAUCCCUAGGGGCUUACAUUUCAAUAUAAUUAAUAUAUUUUUAGGUAUACACUGUGUAAUUUGCUUAUUGUUUGUUUGUAACGCCUCUUGUUAAGUUAUUUGGCUUAAAAUAAAGAGGUAAUUUACCCUAACAUUAAAAUAUGGUUUAAAUGUAAAAAGAUAAAUAGUAAAGAUAAAGUAUAGAUAAAGAGUACAGUUAAAAAUAACUGUUGUUACAUGUAUUUGUUUUAGGAGACACUGGAUGCAUUCAGCCCAGCUUCCUGUCUGACUUUGCCACUCUGUUCACAGCAUAUCAUCUUCAUUCAAAGCGAUCUGUAUCUGGAGAGAGGAACAAGAAGUCAGGAGGAAAAGUAAACAUCAGACCAAAUGGUACAGAAGAAACAGGUUGCAGUGAACCUACAUGUUGCUACUCUUCUUUGCAAAGUGAUGGAUUUGCAGUGGAGUUUCUGAAAUCCGCCUUUCGCAACCUGUUAUGGAACACAGUCUGGAGCCGAAUUGUUUUCCUUGACCAGAAGUUUAUUGGAAUCGCUUGAGGUCAUUUGGACAUACUGGACUUUUCCUGCAGUGGUGACAAUUAAUCUUCAUUUCAUUUUGUCAUCCAUGAAAAUUAUUUGUGAGUCCUAUUGGAUUUGAUUCCUAUCAACAGUGAAGGUAAAGACCCAUUGUUCCACACUCUUUUACAGCAUCAUCAAGCUAUUGUUGUUGUCAUCGUUAUUUAGCAACCUCUAGCUAAAUAUUUUUUAUAUUGUGCCUUUAAAGUUAUGCAGUUUUUUAGAUAUUCCUCUUUCUGUGUGAUGGGCCACACAGUGUACAUGUUUCAAUUACUUUAAAAAUAUUUAUAUUUCAUGUCCAUUAAAAAAAAACAUUCAAAAUACAUGUUUUGAAA